GCAACGCUGAGCCUGAACGGCUUGAUUAUCUUUGAUAAUCAAUUGGUUUAGUUGUUGCGAUGUUGUGUUUGCAUAAACUCGAAUUUCGAGUUGGUAGAGUUAUCUACCAGUGUCUCGGCGCUCAGCG
rnacentral:other from 5 species